UUUAUAUUUUAACGAUCUACCUUAGUCUUCUGUUAACUCAUAAUUCUGUUUAGUGCUGCAAGGAAUUUAACUUUUUAAUUUUCAUAGUAUAAAAUUGGACUAGAAGUUGUUUGUAGGGAAUUGAAGGUUUAUAUUUUCCUUCAGAGUAAUGAAAGUAGAUUUCCCAAGUUUUGAACUAGCCAGUUUUUAGUAAUUAUAAGUUAAUUAUAGUUUGUUCAAUUUGGUUUGGUUCUCCUCAAUGCAAAGGAAAAAAAUCGGAUAUAUAUAGAGGUUAUAAAAUAGAGAUUUCGUUUUGAUAAUGUGCAGAAUGGUCUUAAGCGAUCACAGAAAGUAAAAAAAAAAAAAAAAAUCAGGAUUCUACUGCUUUAAAAGAAAUUUCACUUUUAAUUUUGGAAUAUAAAAUGUAUUUUCUAAAAGUGACCUUUUUUCUAUCUUAAAAAACAUCCAUUCUGGUAGUGUCACCAAUUAUUUAAACACCCUUCUAAACCAAAGAAAAAAAAAGAGAAAGAAAAAGUAACUUGCUUUGUAAGAUCAUAUUUUUAAUCUAUCUCUUGUACAUGCUUCAUUGAAUCAAAGGAACAAUCCUUUUGUUCACUGGACAUAUGCUUGAGUAAUGUAAAUUUUUAUCCAUUGGUCAUUCCUAGUCUUAAAAAGUUUAUAUGCUCUCCUAAAAUAUUUUGGCUGUAUAGUUUUGGUGUUCAUCUUAGAGGAUUCUUCAGCAGGAAGUGAUUUAUUCUUUACUGUUUUUGUGAGGUAAUACUGGUUUUGAAAAUACGUUUAAGCUAAAAAGAAUAUUUUAUUGAGAUCAGUGGUUACUGCGUCUAUCAACUCUAAAAUCAAGUGCCAGCAGAGAACUUUAAAACUUUAAGCUGUGUAUGGAGCUGUUUUGUGUAGCAUUGAAAUGUUCUAUCAAGUUUUGUCAGUCACUGUAUAUGAUUAUCAGCUUGAAGGUAUUUUUGUAUUAAAAGUUGACAGUUAAAGAACAUAAGUGGAUGAUGGCAUUUGGGGCCAAUAGUGAAAGUAUGUUUCCUCUAAAAUAUUUCCCUAGCAGUGGUAUAUAUACAUGGUUAUUUUAUUAGGGUAUUUCUCUGUGAACCAUGCUGCAGUCUUUGUUUUUUGUCUCUUUGUUUGUUUUUGUAUCACCAUAAAGUAAGGGAAAAUCCAGAAAUAGAGACUAAAUCACACAAAAUUGACCUUGUUAAAUACAGAAAAAUAUAGGUGCUUACCUUUUGAGGGUCUCUUAAUACAUAUGAUUGUCACAAUGCAUAUCUGUGAUAAAUGGUGUACAUAAUAUAGAUGCUUCUAGCCUAUAAAUUUUUCUAUACCGACGUAGAAUCCUCUUUCUGCAUCUUUGUUCAACAUGUUAAUUCCUCUUCUGUUUAUUCUCUAGUAGCCGAAUGCCAGCAUUUUUUACACCAUGGCACAGUACUGAGAAGUGUGCUCUAGGAUAGGGAACUGAAUUUUGAAUGAAAAAAGAGAGGGAGAGAGAAAAGGAUUUAAAAAAACAAGCACACAAAUGUUUUCUUAGCCAUUUUCAUUGGGCAUCUGAAGAGUCCAUAGGACGUUCCUGUUUAACAUUAUUUCUAGUGAAAUAAGAUUCUUGCUCUAGCAAUAUGUUCCUAAGAAUGUCUUCCCUCAAAACAGUAAACAUGCUCUAGUGGCCUAAGGCUACUUUUUGUUCGUUGUGAUAUCAGGGAUGUUGUUAUAAGCACUGGUCUCAGCUUAGAAAGCUGUUUCUUAAUAGUGUUAUUUUUUGGCCAAAUUUCUUCACCAGUAACUUCUUUUUGAUAGCUUUUUGUUUUGUUAGGUUGAAGUAGGACAGUGCUGAUCUCAACCAGAUUAUCCAUCUGCAGAAUUAAGGAUGCAAGUUUUUCCGCUGAAAGAAAGGGAACAGCUUGGAGGAGAAGGCGCACCUAUUCAAAGGAAAUCAGGUCCUUCCUUUUUUCCAUGCUGGCUGUCUACCAGCUGUGUUUGUGAAUGUUCAAGAGAAGAUAAAGGAUGGAGAGCUGGAAUCAGUCAACUGAAUUGCUUGUCAGGAGACUCAGAAGAUUUGGAGAAAGGUGAGGCACAACCAAGUAUUUAAAAUAAGAUCUCUAAGCUCAAGAUCUUGUUCAUUUUUCUCUAUGUGGUUACAUCAAGUUUUCCC